CACGCCCUAAACGAUGUCGACUAGUCGUUCGGAGCAGCAAUGCACUGAGUGACGCAGCUAACGCGUGAAGUCGACCGCCUGGGGAGUACGGCCGCAAGGUUAAAACUCAAAGGAAUUGACGGGGACCCGCACAAGCGGUGGAUGAUGUGGAUUAAUUCGAUGCAACGCGAAAAACCUUACCUACCCUUGACAUGUCUGGAACCUUGCUGAGAGGCGAGGGUGCCUUCGGGAGCCAGAACACAGGUGC
rnacentral:rRNA from 1 species